UACGGGGGGGGCAAGCGUUGUUCGGAAUUACUGGGCGUAAAGGGCUCGUAGGUGGCCAACUAAGUCAGACGUGAAAUCCCUCGGCUUAACCGGGGAACUGCGUCUGAUACUGGAUGGCUUGAGUUUGGGAGAGGGAUGCGGAAUUCCAGGUGUAGCGGUGAAAUGCGUAGAUAUUGGGAAGAACACCCGUGGCUAAGGCGGCUCUCUAGUACGGUACUGACGCUGAGACGCGAAAGCGUGGGGAGCGAACAGG
rnacentral:rRNA from 1 species